CUACAUGAUGAAUGGCACUGGGCUCCGACAGUCGACAAGAUCUUCUGGUCAUGAAGGAUAAGCCCCUUUGCGGCAGGCCUAGAAAACCUCGCCCACUGAAU
rnacentral:snoRNA from 1 species